rnacentral:rRNA from 1 species
UCUCGGUCGAAGCAAAAGUGUUAAGUGCACCGCCUGGGGAGUACGGUCGCAAGGCUAAAACUCAAAGGAAUUGACGGGGGCUCACACAAGCGGUGGAGCAUGUGGCUUAAUUCGAAGCAACGCGAAGAACCUUAUCCUGGGUUUGACAUGCACGGAUUAGUCCCGAGAAACCGGGGUGACGCGGCUUGGGGUGGAACGUGCACAGGUGCUGCAUGGCUGUCGUCAGCUCGUGCCGUGAGGUGUUAGGUUAAGUCCUUUAACGAGCGAAACCCCUGUCGCUAGUUGCCAGCGCGUAAUGGCGGGGACUCUAGCGAGACCGCCGGCGUCAAGUCGGAGGAAGGUGGGGACGACGUCAAGUCCGCAUGGCCUUUAUGCCCAGGGCUGCACACGUGCUACAAUGGCGGGUACAGAGCGAUGCAAUACCGCGAGGUGGAGCAAAACGCUAAAAACCCGCCCCAGUUCAGAUUGCAGGCUGCAAUUCGCCUGCAUGAAGUUGGAAUCGCUAGUAAUCGCGGAUCAGCUACGCCGCGGUGAAUACGUUCCUGAGCCUUGUACACACCGCCCGUCAAGUCAUGGAAGCUGGCAGCGCCUUAAGUCGCCGCGAAUCAGUGGUGCCCACGGCGAGGCUGGUGACUGGGACUAAGUCGUAACAAGGUAGCCGUAGGAGAACCUGCGGCUGGAUCACCUCCUUU